UACGUAGGGCGCAAGCGUUGUCCGGAAUUAUUGGGCGUAAAGAGCUCGUAGGCGGUUUGUCGCGUCUGUCGUGAAAGCCCACAGCUUAACUGUGGGUCUGCGGUGGAUACGGGCAGACUAGAGGCAGGUAGGGGAGAACGGAAUUCCCGGUGUGGCGGUGAAAUGCGCAGAUAUCGGGAGGAACACCGGUGGCGAAGGCGGGUCUCUGGGCCGAUACUGACGCUGAGGAGCGAAAGCGUGGGGAGCGAACAGG
rnacentral:rRNA from 1 species